GUCACCAGUUUCGGACCCGUUUCAGACCAUGAUAUGGAAUAUACAAUAGAUGUAUUUUUCCGUCAAAGCUGGAAGGAUGAAAGGUUAAAAUUUAAAGGACCCAUGACAGUCCUCCGGUUAAAUAACCUAAUGGCAAGUAAAAUCUGGACUCCGGACACAUUUUUCCACAAUGGAAAGAAGUCAGUGGCCCACAACAUGACCAUGCCCAACAAACUCCUGCGGAUCACAGAGGAUGGCACCUUGCUGUACACCAUGAGGCUGACAGUGAGAGCUGAAUGUCCGAUGCAUUUGGAGGACUUCCCUAUGGAUGCCCAUGCUUGCCCACUAAAAUUUGGAAGUUUCAAACUGGUCUUCCUCAAACUAGUCAAACUUUUACCUGCAAUAGAAGAAAACACUUGGGAGGCUGAGACAGGAGGAUUGCUUGAACCCGGGAGGCGGAAAUUGCAGUGAGUUGAGAUGGUGCCACUGCACUCCAGCCUGGGUGACAAGAGUGAAACUGCACCCAAAAAAUAAAAAAGAAGAAGAAGGAGAAGGAGGGGCAGGGGGAGGGGGAGGGGAAGGAGGAGGAGGAGGAGAAGGAGAAGGAGAAGAAGAAGACACUUGUUAGUUUGUCUGUUGGACAAACUCUCCCCCAAUAUUUUCACAUGUAUCUGCCAUGUAUUUGUAUAAAUGUUACCUCCUCAGAGACGACUCUGUCUGAGCUCCUUACCUUGGGAUAAGUCUCCAUCCCUUCAUUCUCUAUCCUUUUACUCGGUUGUGUAUGACUCUAUCACACUUAUCUCUACUUGAAAUUACAUACGUAUUUGCUUAUAUGUUUUUGUCCCCACUGCUACCAUGCAUAUUCCAUAAGAUAAAGAACUUUUGUUCUUAUGUUCACUACUGUAUCCCC
rnacentral:sRNA from 1 species